rnacentral:rRNA from 1 species
AUUCCAGCUCCAAUAGCGUAUAUUAAAGUUGUUGCGGUAAAAAAGCUCGUAGUUGGAUUUCUGUUGAAGACGUCCGGUCCAUACCACGUAUGCGCAUCUGGCUCGGCUUCGGCAUCCUCUCGAAAGACGUUUCUGCGCUUGAUUGCGUGGAGCGGAUCUCGGGACUUUUACUUUGAGGAAAUUAGAGUGUUCACGGCAGGCUAUCGCCAGAAUACAUUAGCAUGGAAUAAUACUAUAGGAUCUCGGUUCUAUUUUGUUGGUUUCUAGAAUUGAGAUAAUGAUUAAUAGGGACAAUUGGGGGCAUUCGUAUCAACACGUUAGAGGUGAAAUUCUUGGAUCGUGUUGCGACGAACUACUGCGAAAGCAUUUGCCAAGGAUGUUUUCAUUGAUCAAGAACGAAAGUAAGGGGAUCGAAGACGAUUAGGUACCGUCGUAGUCUUUACCAUAAACUAUGCCAACUAGAGAUGGGACAUCGUUCACUUAAGACUUGUUCCGCACCUUAUGAGAUAUCAAAGUCUUUGGGUUCCGGGGGGAGUAUGGUCGCAAGUCUGAAACUUAAAGGAAUUGACGGAAGGGCACCACCAGGAGUGGAGCCUGCGGCUUAAUUUGACUCAACACGGGGAAACUCACCAGGUCCAGACAUAAUAAGGAUUGACAGAUUGAUAGCUCUUUCUUGAUUUUAUGGGUGGUGGUGCAUGGCCGUUCUUAGUUCGUGGAGUGAUUUGUCUGCUUAAUUGCGUUAACGAACGAGACCUUAACCUGCUAAAUAGGAGCGCCUAUCUCCGGAUAAGCGCCUUUCUUCUUAGAGGGACUUUAUGCGUUUCAGCAUGAGGAAGUUUGAGGCUAAA